rnacentral:rRNA from 1 species
AAUGAACGCUGGCGGCAGGCCUAACACAUGCAAGUCGAACGGAUCCUUCGGGAUUAGUGGCGGACGGGUGAGUAACGCGUGGGAACAUACCCUUUGGUACGGAAUAGCCGCGGGAAACUGGGAGUAAUACCGUAUGUGGUCGAGAGACGAAAGAUUUAUCGCCAAAGGAUUGGCCCGCGUUGGAUUAGGUAGUUGGUGGGGUAAUGGCCUAGCAAGCCGACGAUCCAUAGCUGGUUUGAGAGGAUGAUCAGCCACAAUGGGACUGAGACACGGCCCAUACACCUACGGGUGGCAGCAACUGGGAAUCGUACACAAUGGACGAAAGUCUGAUGUCGCGACGCCGCGUGAAGGAUGAAGGCGUAUUCGUUGUAAACUUCUUUUGCCAAUGUAGAGAUACAUUGGAGAAUAAGCACCUGCUAAUCUCGUGCCAGCCGCCGCGGUAA